AGGGGUACAAAGGGCACAUUUUUAGGGAGCUAUAGAAAUCAGGAAAAGUUGCCUAACAUUAAACUGUGAUGAUGUGAAGCUGACGUUAUCGCUAUCUAGGGAAUCAUGUUCAGGAGGAAACCUGACAGUGGUUGAGACCAGCCCCACAGUGUGCUUCAUCUGAAUAAAUCCUGAAAAGUUAAGAGGUUUAGGAUUCAAUCCUAUCUUUUUAAUUUUCUUUUUUGCUGUCA